rnacentral:rRNA from 1 species
UACGUAGGGAGCGAGCGUUGUCCGAAUUCACUGGGCGUAAAGCGCGCGUAGGCGGGUUCUUAAGUUGGGGGUGAAAUGCCGAGGCUCAACCUCGGAACUGCCCCCAAAACUGGGAGCCUUGAGGCUUGGAGAGGGAAGUGGAAUUCCUGGUGUAGCGGUGAAAUGCGUAGAUAUCAGGAGGAACACCUGUGGCGAAGGCGGCUUCCUGGCCAUGUCCUGACGCUGAGGUGCGAAAGCCAGGGGAG